GACAAACGGAUCAAGUUAAAAAUAAAUAAUAGUAUAAAAGGGGUUAAAGAAUUAUUAAGAAUGAAAAAUGAUACUUUUUAUGGGGGUAGAAUUUGUGUAAAAAGGGGUAAUUUUAUUUUUUCUUAGUUUGAGGCCCCGAAAUUUUGUUGUGAGACCGGGAUUAGAUACCCCGUUAUUCAAAAUGUAAACGUUGAUUGAGGUUAAUUUACUAGAGUAUUACGGGUAAUAAAGGGAAUAUAACUUUAUAUGUUACUUAAAACUCAAAAGACUUGGCGGUGCCUUAUAUCCUUCCAGGGGAACCUGUCCUAUAAUCGAUAGUCCACGUUUUAGCUUUCUUUUUUUUGAAAUUACAGCUUGUAUACCGUCGUCGUCGGGUUACCUUUAAGAGUUUUGGAGUUAUCGGUAAGAACAGGGCAUGAAGGUAAAAUUACAUGAAGUAAUAUUAGUGCUUAUGUGGUGUUNUAGACGUCAGAUCAAGGUGCAGCCUAUAGAAAAGAANAGAUGGGUUACAGUAAUUAAUUUAUUAUUACGGAUCUUUGUUGUAAUAANCAUGGUUGAAGGAGGACUUGGAAGUAAUUUUUAANAUAANANANCUUANNUGAANGAAGGCUCUGAGGUGCGC
rnacentral:rRNA from 1 species